rnacentral:rRNA from 1 species
AGAGUUUGAUCAUGGCUCAGAUUGAACGCUGGCGGAAUGCUUUACACAUGCAAGUCGAAGGCAGCACGGGGGCAACCCUGGUGGCGAGUGGCGAACGGGUGAGUAAUACAUCGGAACGGCCCAGUCGUGGGGGAUAACGUAGCGAAAGUUACGCUAAUACCGCAUACGAUCUAAGGAGAAAGCGGGGGACCGUAAGGCCUCGCGCGAUUGGAGCGGCCGAUGUCAGAUUAGGUAGUGGUGGGGUAAAGGCCCACCAAGCCUGCGAUCUGUAGCUGGUCUGAGAGGACGACCAGCCCACUGGGACUGAGACACGGCCCAGACUCCUACGGGAGGCAGCAGUGGGGAAUUUUGGACAUGGGCGCAAGCCUGAUCCAGCCAUUCCGCGUGCAGGACGAAGGCCUUCGGGUUGUAAAUGCUUUUGUACGGAACGAAACGGUCCUGGUUAAUACCCGGGGCUAAUGACGGUACCGUAGAAUAAGCACCGGCUAACUACGUGCCAGCAGCCGCGGUAAU